rnacentral:rRNA from 1 species
GAUGAACGCUGGCGGCGUGCUUAAUACAUGCAAGUCGAACGAGAACCUGGGGCUUGCUCCAGGGGGCAGUGGCGAAUGGGUGCGUAACACGUAGGCGACCUGCCCUCAAGCGGGGGAUAACGGUUCGAAAGGACCGCUAAUACCGUAUGUGGUCACGGGAUCGAAGCUGUGACUAAACUCGCGCAAGCGGGGCUUAAGGAGGGGCCUGCGGCCCAUCAGCUAGUUGGUGAGGUAACGGCUCACCAAGGCGACGACGGGUAGGGGGCCUGAGAGGGUGACCCCCCACACUGGCACUGACACACGGGCCAGACUCCUACGGGAGGCAGCAGUAAGGAAUAUUGCGCAAUGGGCGAAAGCCUGACGCAGCAACGCCGCGUGAGCGAUGAAGGCCUUCGGGUCGUAAAGCUCUUUUCCAGGGGAUGAGGAAGGACAGUACCUUGGGAAUAAGUCACGGCUAACUACGUGCCAGCAGCCGCGGUAAAACGUAGGUGGCGAGCGUUAUCCGGAUUCACUGGGCGUAAAGCGCACGCAGGCGGCCCGGAAAGUAGGGCAUGAAAUCUCCUGGCUUAACUGGGAGAGGUUGUCCUAUACUGCCGGGCUUGAGGAUGGGAGAGGGAAGUGGAACUGCCGGUGUAGUGGUGAAAUGCGUAGAGAUCGGCAAGAACACCAGUGGCGAAGGCGGCUUCCUGGCCCAUUCCUGACGCUCAGGUGCGAAAGCUAGGGGAGUGAACGGGAUUAGAAACCCCGGUAAUCCUAGCCGUAAACGAUGUACACUAGGUGUCGGGGGUAUUGACCCCCCCGGUGCCGAAGCUAACGCGUUAAGUGUACCGCCUGGGGACUACGGCCGCAAGGUUA